UGCCAAUGGGCUUGAGGCAGCU
rnacentral:piRNA from 1 species